rnacentral:misc_RNA from 1 species
UAAUGACUCAACGGAAAUGUAUCUCGUCACGUAUAUCGUUCUUGCAUAUUUCGGCCGAAAAAAACAAUAAUUUAACAAUCUUGAGCUUUUUUUUACCAAAUCAUAAACCAACAGAAAGUUAUCGAACAGAUUAUUCACAUUAAAUGGGCCCGUAUGCUGUAUAAACAAAGUGUCACACAAAUGUAUCGUUGUAAAAUAUAAAUAUUCAUAGUAGGGGCACCAAUUCUGACGUCAUUAGCUGGUGCAUGGCGGUCGUUUUUGUGCAUGUUGGACAAAAGUUCUGAUAAAACAUGGAAGGAGAAAGUAGUAGCCAUGAGGAGAUAGGUGAACUUGAAGACCAAGGCACCAAUGAGACAUAUCAGCAUGACCCAGAGGAGGACCUAUCAGCUACUGGCCUUGAUAGUGCAGAGGGUACAUCUGGGGGAGACAUGAUGGGAAUACAUGGCCUCCUUCUACAGGCUCAACAGAAUGCCUCUGUUGACCAAGAGAAUGAUGCCAAUGUUAUGGGAGAGCACCCUGCAGGAGUAGACUCCACCCAGGACCAAUUGCAGCUGGAGAGCAUGGCUAAUCAAUCUGUUCAUACAGUCACUUUGGAAGAUGGCAGCACUGCCUACAUUCAACACAACAAAGGAGAUGAGAAGGUUGCUGAAGGACAGACCAUACAGUUGGCAGAUGGCUCAACUGCAGUGGUACAAAAGGUUGCAGAAACAGCAGAGGUAGACCCUGAACCUGAAGCUGAGCCAGAUGGUACCAAGUUCAUUGAUGGUCAAGCUGUGCAGCUAGAGGAUGGCACCACGGUUUAUAUACACAGUACACCUAAAGCUGGGCUCCAGGCUGUUCAACUGGAAGAUGGAACAACAGCCUACAUUUCUCAGACUCCCCCUGAUCAACUGCUGCCAGAGCCUACCCAGGUAAACAACACUGUAGAUCAGAACACUGUUACCUUGGAGAUUACACCUGAUGGACAAUUUAAAACACAAGACACAAAUGGUACUGUUAAGAAGUUUGUCUCUAAGGAGGAAGCAGACCUGGCCUUGGCAAGGCAACAGUACAGUGAGCGAGCCAUUGUCAUGACAGAGAAGGUGUUCAAGUGUGACUUUCCUCAGUGUGGCAAAAUGUACACUACUUCACAUCAUCUCAAGGUUCAUGAGAGAAACCAUACUGGACAGAAGCCCUUCAAGUGCCAGUGUGGGAAGACAUUUGCAACAGGCUAUGGUCUAAAGAGUCACACUAGGAUACAUACUGGAGAAAAGCCCUACAAGUGCCCAGAUGAACACUGCAAUAAAUGCUUCAAAACAUCGGGUGAUAUGCAAAAGCAUGUACGCACCCAUACUGGCGAACGGCCAUUCAAAUGUCCAUUUGAGGGUUGCCAUAGAGCUUUCACUACGUCCAACAUUCGCAAAGUCCAUAUAAGGACACAUACUGGAGAGCGUCCAUAUAUAUGUGAGGAGGAAGGCUGUGGUCGGGCAUUUGCAAGUGCCACUAACUAUAAAAAUCAUGUCCGAAUACAUACAGGAGAAAAGCCUUAUGUAUGCACUGUGCAGGGAUGUGGCAAGAGAUUUACAGAAUAUUCCAGCCUCUAUAAACACCAUGUUGUACACACCCACACGAAACCUUACAUUUGCAACCAUUGUGGUAAAAACUACCGCCAGACAUCAACAUUAGCUAUGCAUAAGCGCACUGCACAUAAUGAUGACACGGGUGUUGAAGAAGCAACAGGAGUUCAGAUAUAUCCACCCACUAAUCACCAGAUUACAAUAGGAGGCCUAAAUGAUGGCAGCCAGGGCCCAGCAGCCAAAAAACAGAAGCUGGAUUUCCAGGGGUCUUCAGAGGGAGGCACAGGGCCAGGGGAGGAGGGAGAUGGUAACCUUGUCAUCAACACCUCUGAGUCAGGGGCUCAACAAAUCCAAAUGGUAGGUAACAAUCCUGUGCUCUCAGGAGCUGGUGGGUCUCAGACCAUGGUGAUCCAGGCCAACAGCACACAGCUUCAGCCCCUCAUGCAGCAAAUGGUCAACCUGGGUGGAGACCAGCAGAUAUUUGUUGUCACAGAUCCUGCUCAAAUACAAGCCUUACAGAGUAUGUCUGUUCCUGUGUCAGUGUCCACCCAAAUUGCCAGUGAGAGUAGUGCCACUGACAGCCACAACAAACACCCUGCUGUCAUAGCAACAGCUGCAGAAUCUAUGUCAACUGGAACAAUCUCUGUGGCGGACAAUGAACAAACUAUAGUAUAUACAGACUAGCAAUAAUCUUUACAGUGAAUAGUAAAGCUGGAUACAUUGUACAUAGAGAGUAUAGAAUGCACAUAUUUCUAGGCAAUAUGGCUGUGAUUUUGAAAAUUAAAAAAUGGUUUGUGAAAAAGACCAUGUAGUGUAUCGCAAACUUAUUGCAUUGCUAUACAAUUCCCCUUUCAUUAGUUACUGGCAUAGUGCAGGAGAAACUUUUCAUAUGGUUAAAAUGAGAAAAACAAGAUCUUCUUUUUCUAAAUGAGGAGAACAUUUUUGAAAAACUGAGGAGAUUGGAUACUAAUCCAUUAUCUAUUGGUAUAAUUCAAAUGUAAUUUUUUUUAUCUUUGGUGCUUAUGUUGGAGAUUACAUAUUUUUUAUUGUAAAUCAGGAAUGUGUCAUCUAACAAUACUUCCAGUCAAAAAUAAAACUGUCAAAAAUUGUUUGUGAUACACUACGUGGUGGACUUAGGAGAGGUAUCCAAAGUUCAAUGUCCGAUAGGAAACUAAAUAAAUCUAGCUUUGAGUUUGAUGAAGAAAGUAUCAGGUCAAAUCUUUAUUUUUAAACCAUUCCAAGGUAUUCCGAGUCAAAAUUUCAAAAGUUUGAAAUUUGUCCAGAUAGCCCCCUAACUUGAUUUAUUUAGUUUCCUAUUAGACAUUGAACUUUUGAUGCCUCCCCUUAGCUCUAUGAAUAAGGCAAGAAAUUUUUGCAAGAUUAUAUUCCAUCUUCA